rnacentral:rRNA from 1 species
UGGUCCCCCACACUGGGACUGAAAGACGGCCCAGACUCCUACGGGAGGCAGCAGUAAGGGAUAUUGCGCAAUGGGCGAAAGCCUGACGCAGCAACGCCGCGUGGAGGAUGACGGCCUUCGGGUUGUAAACUCCUUUGGACGCAGACGAGGAAGGACGGUAUGCGUCAAACAAGUCACGGCUAACUACGUGCCAGCAGCCGCGGUAAAACGUAGGUGGCAAGCGUUAUCCGGAUUUACUGGGCGUAAAGCGUGUGCAGACGGGUGUUCAAGUGGUGUAUGAAAUCGCUCGGCUCAACCGGGCGCGGUUAUGCCAGACUGGAUACCUGGAGACAGAGAGAGGGACGUGGAAUUCCGGGUGUAGUGGUGAAAUGCGUAGAGAUCCGGAGGAACCCCUGAGGCGAAGGCGGCGUCCUGGCUCUGUUCUGACGUUCAGACACGACAGCAUGGGGAGCGAACGGGAUUAGAAACCCCGGUAGUCCAUGCCGUAAACGAUGACAACUAGGCGCUGAGGGACUCAACCCCCGCGGUGCCGCAGCAAACGCGAUAAGUUGUCCGCCUGGGGAGUACGGUCGCAAGGCUAAAACUCAAAGGAAUCGACAGGGGCCCGCACAAGCAGCGGAGCGUGUGGUUUAAUUCGAGGCUACACGAAGAACCUUACCUGGGG